UCUCUCCUCCCUCACAAAUCUCUCAUUCACUCUCCGUUCUCUCUCUCUCCUUCGAACUCACACGGACCACCCACAAACCACCCUAAAACUAUACCAACGAAGGAUCUAAGACCACCAUCGUACUCCUGAGGAUCACACGAACACGAUGGUACCAAUUUCAGCUUGUAGGAAGCUUGGUGAGGUCCUAAGGAAGCUCGGAGUGCUUCGUUGGACAAAUUUGGACGUCGGGAAAGCUUAGUUCAAGUUUGGCCGGAGCUUUCGAGACUUUUUCCGGCGAAUCCAGGCCGAGUUAGGGGUCAAGGCAGAAAUUCCGGCAAAACACCCACCUCCGGCGAAACCAGUCCGGCGACGCGAGGAAGAAGAU